rnacentral:tRNA from 1 species
GGCUUAUUAGCUCAGUGGAAAGAGCGCCCCGUUCCUACCGGGGAGGUCGCGGGUUCAAUUCCCGCAUAGGCUU